AUCCCAGUUCAGCCCAGUGUGUCUCUGAGCCUGUCUUUCUCCCCAGCCUCCUGUGGUUGAGAAGGUGGUGGGGCUUGUUCGUGAGAAACGUGUGGCUGCAUCCCUGGAUGUCUGAGGACUGGAAGUGGUGGUGACACCUGUGCCCUGUCUCUCUCCAGUGGCAUGAGGAGAUGAUCAUCCCUGGAAGAACCCCCUGAUUUCCCUCAGAGCCCAGGGCCAUUUCCCCUGAAUGAUCAAUAAAUCCCUUCAGCAAAGCUA